rnacentral:rRNA from 1 species
CACGGGGGGAGCAAGCGUUGUUCGGAAUCACUGGGCGUAAAGGGCGUGUAGGCGGUCAGGUAAGUGGAACGUGAAAUGCCCCGGCUCACCCGGGGACCUGCGUCCCAAACUGCCUGGCUUGAGUAUGGGAGAGGAUGAGGGAAUUCCUGGUGUAGCGGUGAAAUGCGUAGAUAUCAGGAGGAACACCGGUGGCGAAGGCGCUCAUCUGGCCCAAUACUGACGCUGAUGCGCGAAAGCUAGGGGAG